GGGGAUGCAGCUCAGUUGGUAGAGUGUUUGCCUAGCAUGCACAAAACUCUGGGUUCGAACCCNAGCACUGCUU
rfam:Neotoma lepida isolate 417 scaffold_365, whole genome shotgun sequence.